UACGGGGGGGGCAAGCGUUGUUCGGAAUGACUGGGCGUAAAGGGCUCGUAGGCGGCCAACUAAGUCAGACGUGAAAUCCCCAGGCUCAACCUGGGAACUGCGUCUGAUACUGGAUGGCUUGAAUUCGGGAGAGGGAUGCAGAAUUCCAGGUGUAGCGGUGAAAUGCGUAGAUAUCUGGAGGAAUACCGGUGGCGAAGGCGGCAUCCUGGACCGACAUUGACGCUGAUGAGCGAAAGCUAGGGGAGCAAACGGG
rnacentral:rRNA from 1 species